GAUGAACGCUGGCGGCGUGCCUAAUACAUGCAAGUCGAGCGAACAGACGAGGAGCUUGCUCCUCUGAUGUUAGCGGCGGACGGGUGAGUAACACGUGGAUAACCUACCUAUAAGACUGGGAUAACUUCGGGAAACCGGAGCUAAUACCGGAUAACAUGUUGAACCGCAUGGUUCAAUAGUGAAAGACGGUCUUGCUGUCACUUAUAGAUGGAUCCGCGCCGCAUUAGCUAGUUGGUAAGGUAACGGCUUACCAAGGCAACGAUGCGUAGCCGACCUGAGAGGGUGAUCGGCCACACUGGAACUGAGACACGGUCCAGACUCCUACGGGAGGCAGCAGUAGGGAAUCUUCCGCAAUGGGCGAAAGCCUGACGGAGCAACGCCGCGUGAGUGAAGAAGGUCUUCGGAUCGUAAAACUCUGUUAUUAGGGAAGAACAAAUGUGUAAGUAACUAUGCACGUCUUGACGGUACCUAAUCAGAAAGCCACGGCUAACUACGUG
rnacentral:rRNA from 1 species